AGCUUUGCACAGUGGCAGUAUCAGAGCCAAUGGGGUUUAUCUGAGGUGUGAUUAUUGCUAAUUGAAAACUUUUCCCAAUUAAA
rnacentral:snRNA from 1 species